GACGAACGCUGGCGGCGUGCUUAACACAUGCAAGUCGAACGGAAAGGCCCUGCUUUUGUGGGGUGCUCGAGUGGCGAACGGGUGAGUAACACGUGAGUAGCCUGCCCUUGACUUUGGGAUAACUUCAGGAAACUGGGGCUAAUACCGGAUAGGAGCUCCUGCUGCAUGGUGGGGGUUGGAAAGUUUCGGCGGUUGGGGAUGGACUCGCGGCUUAUCAGCUUGUUGGUGGGGUAGUGGCUUACCAAGGCUUUGACGGGUAGCCGGCCUGAGAGGGUGACCGGCCACAUUGGGACUGAGAUACGGCCCAGACUCCUACGGGAGGCAGCAGUGGGGAAUAUUGCACAAUGGGCGGAAGCCUGAUGCAGCAACACCGCGUGCGGGAUGACGGCCUUCGGGUUGUAAACCGCUUUCGCCUGUGACGAAGCGUGAGUGACGGUAAUGGGUAAAGAAGCACCGGCUAACUACGUG
rnacentral:rRNA from 1 species